rnacentral:rRNA from 1 species
AGUGAACGCUGGCGGUAGGCCUAACACAUGCAAGUCGAACGGCAGCACAGUAAGAGCUUGCUCGUACGGGUGGCGAGUGGCGGACGGGUGAGGAAUACAUCGGAAUCUACUUUUUCGUGGGGGAUAACGUAGGGAAACUUACGCUAAUACCGCAUACGACCUACGGGUGAAAGCAGUGGAUCUUCGGACCUUGCGCGAUUGAAUGAGCCGAUGUCGGAUUAGCUAGUUGGCGGGGUAAAGGCCCACCAAGCGGACGAUCCGUAGCUGGUCUGAGAGGAUGAUCCGCCACACUGGAACUGAGACACGGUCCAGACUCCUACGGGAGGAAGCAGUGGGGAAUAUUGGACAAAGGGCGCAAGCCUGAUCCAGCCAUACCGCGUGGGUGAAGAAGGCCUUCGGGUUGUAAAGCCCUUUUGUUGGGAAAGAAAAGCAGCAGGUUAAUACCCCGCUGUUCUGACGGUACCCAAAGAAUAAGCACCGGCUAACUUCGUG